AACCACAUGAAGUUUAACAAGAGCAAGUGCUGGAUUCUGCAUGUGGGAAGGGACAACCCUAGCUAUAUGUACAGACUGGGGGAUGAGAUGCUGGAGAGCAUCUCUGCGGAAUGUGAUCUGGGGGUUUUGGUUGACAGCAAGCUGAAUAUGAGCCAGCAGUGUGCUGUGAGAGCCAGGGAGGCCAGCUGUAGCCAGGGGUGUGUCAAGCACAGCAUUGAGCACAGCAUUGCUAGCCAGUCAAGGGAAGGGAUUGUCCAACUGUACUCUGCACUGCUGCGGCCUCACCUCGAGUACUCUGUGCAGGUUUGGGUGCCACAAUAUAAAAAAGAUAUAAAACUGUUUGCGAGUGUCCAAAGGAAGGCUAUGAAGAUGGUGAAGGGUCUGGAGGGCAAGAUGUAUGAGGAGUGGCUGAAGUCACUUGGUUUGUUCAGCCUGGAGAAGAGAAGAGUGAGGGGAGGCCUCAUCACGGUCUACAGCUUCCUCAAUAGGGAGGGUGGAGGGGCAGGCACUGAUCUCCUCUCUGGUGACAGCGAUAAAACCCAGGGAACAAGCUUGGAGCUACAACAGGGGAGGUUCAGGCUGGAUAUCAGGAAAAGGUUCUUCACUGAGAGGGUGGUAGGGCACUGGAACAGGCUCCCCAGGGAAGUGGUCAUGGCACCAAGCCUGACAGAGUUCAAGAAGCAUUUGGACAAUUCUCUCAGACACAUAGUCUGAUUUUUUGGGUGGUCCUCUGGGGACCCAGGAGUUGGACUCAAUGAUCUUUGGGGUUCCCUUCCAACUUGGGAUACUCUAUAAUUCUAUGAUACCUGGCAGGGCAGCAGACCUGCAACUCCAUGGCUCCUGGGGCUUGCUCACUGGCUUGCUUCCACACACUGCUCUCCCACACUGUCUCAUUAAUGCAGAGCUUGGCGCCUGAGAAGCAAACAGGCUGUCCUGGUGGAAUAUGAGCUGUUCUGUGACUCUGGAAAACCUCAUCCAGUAAGCUAAGGUCUAGAGAAGACACUGGGAUGCAGCUGAAACAUGAAUGAGUGAGUGGG
rnacentral:lncRNA from 1 species